AUGAGCAUCCUAAGGCAUGCUGGGAUAGGGUCAGAGGCACCACCCAUGGAGAGGUUUGUCAACACAAAGACGUGGAAGGUUAGAGGUUUGUCAACACAAAGACACAGGAAGAAUGGGCAGCAGAAGAUUUAGAUGUUUUCCAUUUGGGCACAUUUAACUUAGCUGGAUAACUUGGUUUAAAACAGCCUGGGUAGGAAAAUUAGAAGCAAGCUGGGUGCAGUGGCUAAUGCCUGUAAUCCCAACACUUUUGGGAGGUCCAGGCAGGAGGAUCGCUUGGGCCCAGGAGGUCAAGCCUGCAGUGAGCUGAGAUCACCACUGCACUCCAGCCUAGGGUGACAGAACAAGACCCUGUCUCAAAAAAAAAAAAAAAAAAAUAGAAGCAGAAUUGAGGAGCUGUACCUCAUUGGCUUCCUGACUCCAAAAUAGGUGCUGAUCCUUCCUAUUUGCCGCCUAAAGUUUGUGUGUGGUGUCACCAGCCUGUUUAGCCAAAUGGCUUUGGGCCCAGGCUGCCCAAUCUGAGCAAACACCAGUGAGGCUCUAUCGAGCCAAGACCAGGUCCUCAAAGCACCUGAACCACUGUGGCCUUCUCAGCCUACAGCACGGUGGUCUUUCACAUGGCCACAAAGGGACACACAGUGACAAAAGGCUCAGAAUGUUACAGUGGUAAAAUGAGUGAUCUCAAAUCUACUGACAGACGUAAAAUAGGCUUAGAGAGGAAAAGCUGCCUCUGGUCAAAUAGAUCAUGGCAGAACGAAUUCCAACUCACGUUUUUACAACUCCAACUCCUAUGUUUAUCUUGGUUCAUUUUUUUUACAACCUGGCCAGAGGCAUUUUUUUAAAUCAGGCCCAAUAUCAGUAUCCUUUUUGUGUGUGCCAAUUUUGUUAUCAUAUCCCUGUGAAGUUGAAAAAUAAAGUUAAUUUUGACCAAAAGA